rnacentral:lncRNA from 1 species
UAGGAUGUUUACUCAUAAUCUUUUAUCUCCCAACAUAUCAUGUUUCAUUCGAACUCUCACCAUAAGAGCAUAUACACUUAUCUCACUUGGUAAAUUCUUUAGUGAGGGAAACUCUUUCAAAUCUCAAGGUUCAAUCAUAUAGGACUCUUCAUCACUUCUCGAAAUGUUCAUCCAUAUAUUCGUUAUUCCUUACAUCUUAAAGAAGUCCAUGAGUUCUAAAAUA